rnacentral:rRNA from 1 species
GUGAGGAAUAUUGGACAAUGGGCGCAAGCCUGAUCCAGCCAUGCCGCGUGCAGGAAGACGCAUCUAUGGUGUGUAAACUGCUUUUGUACGGGAAGAAACACUCCCUCGUGAGGGAGCUUGACGGUACCGUAAGAAUAAGGAUCGGCUAACUCCGUGCCAGCAGCCGCGGUAAUACGGAGGAUCCAAGCGUUAUCCGGAAUCAUUGGGUUUAAAGGGUCCGUAGGCGGUUUAAUAAGUCAGUGGUGAAAGCCCAUCGCUCAACGAUGGAACGGCCAUUGAUACUGUUAGACUUGAAUUACAAGGAAGUAACUAGAAUAUGUAGUGUAGCGGUGAAAUGCUUAGAUAUUACAUGGAAUACCAAUUGCGAAGGCAGGUUACUACUUGUGGAUUGACGCUGAUGGACGAAAGCGUGGGGAGCGAACAGGAUUAGAAACCAGGGUAGUCC